GAUGAACGCUGGCGGCGUGCCUAAUACAUGCAAGUCGAGCGAACAGAUGAGAAGCUUGCUUCUCUGAUGUUAGCGGCGGACGGGUGAGUAACACGUGGGUAACCUACCUAUAAGACUGGGAUAACUCCGGGAAACCGGGGCUAAUACCGGAUAAUAUUUUGAACCGCAUGGUUCAAUAGUGAAAGACGGUUUCGGCUGUCACUUAUAGAUGGACCCGCGCAGUAUUAGCUAGUUGGUAAGGUAACGGCUUACCAAGGCGACGAUACGUAGCCGACCUGGGAGGGUGAUCGGCCACACUGGAACUGAGACACGGUCCAGACUCCUACGGGAGGCAGCAGUAGGGAAUCUUCCGCAAUGGGCGAAAGCCUGACGGAGCAACGCCGCGUGAGUGAUGAAGGUCUUCGGAUCGUAAAACUCUGUUGUUAGGGAAGAACAAAUUUGUUAGUAACUGAACAAGUCUUGACGGUACCUAACCAGAAGGCCACGGCUAACUACGUGCCAGCCGCCGCAGUAA
rnacentral:rRNA from 1 species